UCCAGAACGUAUUGACAAAGCUGGGAAAAGAAAAAGGCUGUGAAAUUAUAAACAAAUGGAAAAAAGCAUGUGUAAAACAUUUUUACUGGUCAGUAACUUCAACUCCAGUAAAAACGGGAGCAGUUGUUGUAGUUUCAUGCAUUCCUAUUCCAUGUAAUCAACGAACACACCAAUCUACCAAAUAACCUGAUUAACAAGUGCAAUCAUGAAAAAUACAACAAACCACCAGUAUGGAUGAACAAACGUUCAGAUGCCUAUGAAAAGCUAUCAGAAGCUUUGGAAAAGCCAAGUUUAGUCAAAGGAAUCAAGAAUACCUCCCCUAUGGCUCAGACCAGUGGCCUUGAAGGAUUUCAUUCUGUCGUUGUUACGGCUGGGACAAUCUUUCGAGUUUCCCCGGGUUGGCCGUGUUAGAACAGCAAAUCACUUACUGAGAUUCCAUCAUUCAAUCACUGCAUUUAUUAGAAUCACGGAAAGACUGGGACAUUACUGGCAGCUCUCCACUUUAACCAAAACUUGAGAAGAUAGAGCAAAAUUGAUAAUCAUGGUAAUCCUAAACUCCGAAUAGUCUACCCGAAGUUCAAAGAUGGACAGGCCACGGUCAGAGAAGUGAAGGUGUUACCCAAUUAUGAUUAUGUCAGCGAAUUAUUUGGAAAACUGAUGUCCAUCUCUCGACAAGAACUCAAAACUAUAGAGAAAGAGCUAGAUGAUGAUACCCCUGAACCCAUGCAUACUAUGUUGGAUAAACAAGAUGAGAAAGAUGCCAUUCUCAAGUACAAAUAGAGAAAGAACAAAGAAAUCCCCAUCUGUCCACCAACAUGCACAGAUGAAGAACUUGAACAGUUAACAAGACCAAGGAACAAUACAACAAACUCUACAUCUUCAAGAAAGGCUCCAUGCUGCAGAAAUUGUGGGCAACCUACUAAAGGCCAUCCCAAGAAAAAGAAUGCAAUUUUCCAGUGUCCCACACUGAGUUAACCUGGAGUAAUUUCAGUGUUUGUUCUUAUUUUUUAUGGUCAAGCUAAUAUUGGGGUAUUAGGUAGUCCCCUGUGACUCUUUGGUUUUUAUUACUAGUAAUUAUGGAUUAUUUAAAAUGAAGAUUUAUAAAGUCAGGGCCGCAGCAACCUGUAUGGUUGGUGCGGUUAUAACUGGGCCGUGUUCACAACUACAACUACUUUCCCUCUUAAGGAAAAUAUUUAUUAUCCGAGAAAACUGGACCGAUUUAUAAGAAACCGGACCAAUCAAAAGGUUGUGGCUACAGCCCUGAACGUGCAGCAAAUGUAUCGAGAAUACAUGCUAGUAGUAGUUAUUAUUAUAAAAAUAUAGAUAUAAAUAUAAAUAAAUAUUAGAAUGAAAAUAUGAC